UUUUGACCUCAAAUCAGGUAGGACUACCCGCUGAACUUAAGCAAU
rnacentral:rRNA from 1 species